rnacentral:rRNA from 1 species
UUAAAAAGCUCGUAGUUGGAUUUCUGUGAGAGUAUGAUGUCCUAACGUGUUUAGUGCGCAGAAAACUCUUGCAUCCUUCUGUUACCUCCACAUGGCAUUCACUUGCCAGUGGUUGGCUCAGAGAAUUUACCUUGAGAAAAUUAGAGUGUUUCAGGCAGGCUAGGCCGGAAUACAUUAGCAUGGAAUAAUAGAAUAGGACUCCGGUCUCGUUGUUGGUUUGAGGGACUAUAGUAAUGAUUAAUAGGGAUAGUUGGGGGCAUUAGUAUUCGAUUGUCAGAGGUGAAAUUCUCAGAUUUAUUGAAGACUAACUUAUGCGAAAGCAUUUGCCAAGGAUGUUUUCAUUAAUCAAGAACGAAAGUUAGGGGAUCAAAGACGAUCAGAUACCGUCCUAGUCUUAACCAUAAACCUAUGCCGACUCGGGAUCGGGGGCGUGUUUUUAUCCGCCUUCGGCACCGUAUGANAAAUCAAAGUCUUUGGGUUCUGGGGGGAGUAUGGUCCCAAGGGUUGA